AUAGAACAGCUGAGGUAGCGUUCAGUUUCAGCACAGUGCCAUUAUGAUGGAUGUUUACAUCUCUUCAUUGAGAGCCAAUUAUCUCGCUUUUGUGUGAGGCCCAAGGAUCACUCAUGCUUCCAGGCUGCACAGAGCACUGUUGGAUCUAGCUGAACGAAUUGUUUUCUCUGUCUCUGGGUAUCAACGGUUUCUGUACAGCACAGAUUAUGACAGCGUCUUCCUUAAGAUGGAAUCUUGGAAUAUCUCAUGCUUGGGAAGGACAUGGUCAGAUUUGUUGUAAGAAAGACUGUGCAGAAGAGUGUGGCAAAGGGAUCCGGAAGAUACAAGAUUCUGUGGACCUGACUGACACUAGAAAAGCCGUAUAUUCUUUUUGUUGGUGGUUUGUAAACAGUAGGUAAAAUUCAGGCCGUAGCAUGUGACAUGGAAUUUAUAUUAUCAGGGUAUGCUCACCUGGUUGCAAAUCUGAGACCAAAGUUUUACUUUAACACUUGGAGCUGGUAAAGGAUG
rnacentral:sRNA from 1 species